UAUUGACUUAAUUGGGUCUAAAAACUACUCUAAACGCCUCUUGUCAACGUUCGAACUAGUCCCUAACCUUUGACUCAAAUAUAAAUAUUGGCUACAAAUAGACUUAUAGUUCUGCCUACAUUGGUCGUCUGCUUUAGUAUAUUUGUUACCAAGUAAAAUGCUGCUGUAGAGUUUAAUGAUCUCUUUGUCUACUGGGUUUCUCCAAUUUUCUGAUCGUUGGGAUUCGUGCAAGUCGAGAGAGUCUACUUGGUUGAAACUUUCUGGGUUUUGAUUUGAGUUGCCCAUUGGAUUUGAAGUUUUAGUCUUUUGUUGCUAAAUCUUCGUAAUACUUGGAUCCUGAAUGAUUAAUCAUAGCUAGAAUCCGUUUGGCUUUGUUAUUUGGGUCAGAGAUUCUGAGAGGACGCUUUAAAGAGUCAAGCUUUUCAUUCCUCUGAAUCCGUCCUUGUAUUGGACGUCUUGAUCUCUGUAUGCUCUCCUGGAGCUAUCGAAUCGAGUUUCUCAUUGACUGAU
rnacentral:lncRNA from 1 species